GGAAUGUGAUGACACCGCCGUCGGAGUGAGAGCCGACGCCAAGCGUGAGAUCUGGCGACGGGCACGGCGGGUAGUAGUUGAUGCGCAGCACCAGCCCUAGGCUCUCGGAUAGAGCUUCCAGCAAGCGGCUACAAAGAUUGUGGAGCGCGUGAGUGUAUUCGUCAAGGGUCUCCCUGCGCAGCAAAGGAAAGAUCCAACUGGAAUUCGAGAAAGGAUGAUUGAAUUUUUGGUGCUGAGAGAUGGCAACCAAAUGGACCACUUUGGACUCAAAUGCUGGUAAGUGUCAUUCUUUUUUUUCUUCCAAAGCAUGAACAGGGUG